rfam:Solirubrobacterales bacterium 70-9 SCNpilot_bf_inoc_scaffold_1651, whole genome shotgun sequence.
GGAGAGGUGUCCGAGUGGCUUAAGGAGCACGAUUGGAAAUCGUGUGGGCGGGGUUAACUCGCCUCGUGGGUUCGAAUCCCACCCUCUCCG